AUUGAACGCUGGCGGCAUGCCUUACACAUGCAAGUCGAACGGUAACAGGUUAAGCUGACGAGUGGCGAACGGGUGAGCAAUGUAUCGGAACGUGCCCAGUCGUGGGGGAUAACGUAGCGAAAGCUACGCUAAUACCGCAUACGAUCUACGGAUGAAAGCGGGGGAUCGCAAGACCUCGCGCGAUUGGAGCGGCCGAUAUCAGAUUAGGUUGUUGGUGAGGUAAAAGCUCACCAAGCCUGCGAUCUGUAGCUGGUCUGAGAGGACGACUAGCCACACCGGAACUGAGACACGGUCCAGACUCCUACGGGAGGCAGCAGUGGGGAAUUUUGGACAAUGGACGCAAGUCUGAUCCAGCAAUGCCGCGUGCAGGACGAAGGCCUUCGGGUUGUAAACUGCUUUUGUACGGAACGAAACGGUGAGCUCUAAUACAGUUUGCUAAUGACGGUACCGCAAGAAUAAGCACCGGCUAACUACGUGCCAGCCGCCGCCGUAA
rnacentral:rRNA from 1 species